rnacentral:rRNA from 1 species
GACGAACGCUGGCGGCGUGCUUAACACAUGCAAGUCGAACGGAAAGGCCCUGCUUUGGUGGGGGGCUCGAGUAGCGAACGGGUGGGUAACACGUGAGUAACCUGCCCUUGACUUUGGGAUAACUUCAGGAAACUGGGGCUAAUACCGGAUAGGAGCUCCUGCUGCAUGGUGGGGGUUGGAAAGUUUCGGCGGUUGGGGAUGGACUCGCGGCUUAUCAGCGUGUUGGUGGGGGAGUGGCUUACCAAGGCUUUGACGGGUAGCCGGCCUGAGAGGGUGACCGGCCACACUGGGACUGAGAUACGGCCCAGACUCCUACGGGAGGCAGCAGUGGGGAAUAUUGAACAAUGGGCGGAAGCCUGCUGCAGCAACGCCGCGUGCGGGAUGACGGCCUUCGGGUUGUAAACCGAUUUCGCCUGUGACGAAGCGUGAGUGACGGUAAUGGGUAAAGAAGCACCGGCUAACUACGU